CAACCAUCUGCGAGUUACAAUCAAACACAAUGGCAGAUUAUUAUCAUCAUAUCUGGUCUGAUGAACGGGUUUCUGAUCAUUGUGCUCAUCGUUUUCGCUGCUAAAAAAUCAGAAUGGUUGGAAAAAUCUGUUGAUAAUGCUGAUCUGCAGACAAAAGUUACAUAUCGGCUUCAGGAUGCAAAACUUUUAACAGUACAAUAAGUGUGCCAAGGUGAAGAACUAGUCAUCUGAAUAUUGAAUAUUUAAAUGAAAUGUAAUAUUUCCACCAUUACUGGUCAGUAAACAACAACAACAACAAAACAGUUUAGGAGUUAGUCAUGCAUUAAGCAUCUCUGUCAGAUUCAUUGAAAUUCCUUUAUCAAGUCUGAUGUAAAGUUUU